GACAAGACAUCUUCCUUCCUUCCUCCCCCCCGUAGCAUUUCAUCUACUUGCUCUCCGAUGACGACUCCAAUACCGUUAAUUAGAAACCCAUAAUCAACGGACUACGUGUCACGUAAUUGAUGGAGGCAAUAUCUCGUAAAUUAAUAAAGAAGAACAAGAUGAUGUAGAGGAAAAAGGAUCGGAGGGGUAGUGCCCAUGUGCAGCUCUACAGUGACGAAGCAUUAGAGGCAGCGUGCAAAUCAACGGAUGGAUGCUCAUCUAGUUUAACCGGAGUUUGCGGCACCUAACAAGUUCUAACUUUUC
rnacentral:lncRNA from 1 species